GAUCGAUGUUCAAAUGUUAGCAAUGUUGCCGUGGAGACAAAUCAGUUUUCGGGCAUUUGCAUCCCCCAAACGGUUUCUUUUCUUCGAGAGGAUUUGGCCAGCCGAGGAGAAAACCCUUUCCGAGGGCCCUGAUGUAGCUGGGAUAACCAAAUAUUUCUUGGCAAGCUCAAAGAGCCGAGGAUACUUUUCUCUCCCGGUCUCUUUCCACCAAUCGAGUGGAUUGGUCCAUCUUGGCUGGCACGGGGAAUUCAAGAAUCCUUGAAUGUCUGGAGAAGGCGGUGCUUGUUCGACAACCUCCGAGUCAAAUGCAUCCCAUAGUGACGUUGAAGCCAGUGGUGCAGAAGACCUUUUGCAAAGAGGCACUUGACUGGGCAUGUCUGACAGUUCGGAUUGAACUUGAUGAGAGGCAAGUUGCACUUUGGUUUCAUCUCUGAAACCCUUCGUUUUGAAUCGAGGAUCCAAAAUAGUAGCAACGGCCAAUUUAACGUUAUCCUCAACAGAUCCGAAUCGGCGGAGCAAAUUGUCACUGAUGGCCUUGGCAAGGUCGUAUCUUACGGUACCAGGUAAUGAACUUCGGAUCAAGGCAUCAUAAUUGAUGAGGAGCAUCUUCGUGAUGGGAAUAAUUUUUGAUCCUGUUGUCCUCUUCUCACUAGAGAGCUCUACGGUGGCUUCAAAAAGUGGGCGAAGGACAUGGACCGCAUCCUGAAUGCCUUGCCAUGUGUUCGAAUCAAAGAUUCCCACCUUCUCGCGCAUUCCCGGCUCCGUAAGCAAAACGGAGACCGGACCCCUAAGCUCAAGAAGCCUUUCCAGCAUCUCAAAGAUGGACGAUACCUCCCUAAAUGCAUAAUUGGCAACCAGGUUCAAAGAGUGAGCAUAGCAUGCAACGUGGGUAAUGCCAAUAUCUUUGAUCGCCUUCACCACAUUGGCACCGUUGUCGGUGACUCCGACGAGAAUCUUGUUCCCGAGAUUGUUCCUCUCAAAGACGGUUCGAAGCUCCAUUGAAAUAGUCUCCGCGGUAUGGCGACCCCGAACUCUAACGCAAUCAAGGAUCAUCGAUUGUGGCGUAAGUGUCACUUCAUCACAGUAAUGAACUGUCACUGCGAUAAAUCCACUGCAAUUGAUCGAAGACCACAAAUCUGUAGUGAUCGACACCCAACUAGCUUGUUGGAGCCGAAUCUUGGCAUUUGCAUGAACUUUGUCAAACAUGUUGGAAAUGUAAAUGUCGGAUAAAGUUCGUCUUGAGGGUAGGGCAUAGAGAGGAUUGAGAGUGUGGCAAAACUUCUUAAAUCCCUCAUCUUCGACGAUGGAUAAAGGUUGCAAAUCUUUGACAACCAUGAAGCAUAGCGAUUGGUCUAGGUUCUUUUUUCUGUCGCAAUUUGGAGGAUAGGUCUUAACCGCAGAUCUCGUUGGCCCAACUUGCCCUAAAUAAAGUGGUUUUAGUAAUAAAGUUUUGCCUUGUUUUGUUAACUCGUAGCUUCUUACCUUGGAUUCUCUCCAACUCUACCAUGUGUUUUUUCCUGAGAUGUUGCCAAAGAGUUGUCGUUGCCUGGUUUGUUGUCUUGUAUUCAUUCUCACAAUACAAGCAUCUUGCAUUGGUUUUUCCACGCUUUUCAAACAUUUUCCAUAACACCUGAGAACACCUUUGCUUGCCAUAUUGAAUAAGGUUGCUGAAAUUAGAACACCUACUAUGCUUAAUUUUGUCAAACUGUUUUUUCUAGAGAUCAUUUCAUGCCAUAUGGAAUCCGAAUGGAGGCGCGCAUUAGAGAGAAAUGAGUCACUUACUUGGAUUCUUCGUCAUCUAAAUUCGAUGGAGUGACGACAUUUGACUCCUCGAGAAUAUUGUCAGGAUCUAAGUCCUCGUCCACAAUCGAGCCCAAUGGAGGCGAAGGCGGAUCUGUACAAUUGACGAGGUGGCACUCCAAAUGUGCCGAUCUUGGAUGACAGAAUCUUCCGAUUCUUGCCCAUCCUCCGAAUCUUCCAAUACCUCCGAACUUCGUGGAACGAUUCCGAUUUCGUCGACGAUAAUGUCGGGGAAGGACACGUUAUUUUCAACACUUGAUCCACCCGCUUCAAACUCAAUCUCCAAUGGCGUACCACAUGGCGCAGGCUCAGUCACAAGUUCUUGCCCAUGGCGAAUCGAGAUGGCUGAAGAAACUUCCGCCCAAGUAUUAGAGUCGGAUCCAUUAACUUGUUGCCAGAAUGAUAAUCUGUUGUUAGAAGCCAUGUUACAAUAAGAGUCAAGAUAUAUCA